GCGAGGAGUAGUGGAGUAGACCCGUGGCCCUCACUGCAGCGCGCCACGUGGAGUCUGCUGCAGGGAGUGAAGCGGCGUCUAUUAUCGUGACUUGCCAGCGGAUGGAAGGAUUGCACUAUAUCCGUUACAGGAGGUGGAGCAGGAUCGUGAGCAUCAUAGCGGCCUGUCCGGGAAUAAUGGAGCCGCACGGGAUCCACCGUAGGAAGUGGAGCAGAGUCGUGGCCGUC
rnacentral:lncRNA from 1 species